rnacentral:sRNA from 1 species
AAUCGUAUGGUCUUCUUCCCUGCGAUGGGCAAGUCGGCUCAGCUUGACUGCACUUUCUAGUGGUCGACGUGGUAGCUUGUUUCGGCAUGGAGGGCCGUUGCGGCGCGAAAGCCUGCCUCGGCAGUGGUACUUGCCUGCUGUGUGCCUUCCUACGCUGGGGCUUGUCAAACGGCGCUAGUUAUUUCCGCACGACAUGGCUUGUUAGUCCAAAGUGGCCGAAAGGCUGCGGCGGGUUACUGGUCAGACUUUGCGAGAGCGCUACUACCGCGAUUACAGCAGUUACCCAUCAGACCCGUCUUGAAACACGGACCAAGGAGUCUAGCAUGUGCGCGAGUCAAAGGGUGGUAAAACCCCAAGGCGAAAUGAAAGUGAAUCUACUGGGAUCCUGUCCCUCGUGGCGGGCGCACCAGUCUACCGUUAUUCUUGCAUUGUCAACUUAGCGGAUAGUGAGCGUACACGCUAGGACCCGAAAGAUGGUGAACUAUGCCUGAACAGGACGAAGCCAGAGGAAAC